rnacentral:lncRNA from 1 species
AUGAGUUUCCACCUCACCGGAAAGAGAUUAAAAAGCUCCGCAGUUGGAGAACCUGGAAGGGAUUUUCUUUUUACCCUAAAUAUCAAAAUAACUCACCAGGACAGAAAGGGGCUCUCCUCGCGCGGUCCCCUUCAAGCUCCCGCCUGCGGUCAUCGCCGCCGCCCCUUUCCCUGCGGGGCCGGUCCCGGCUGCGAGACCGCCCCCCGCCCGCCGUGGGGUCUGCAGCGGGGCCCCCGCGCCCCCCAAACCCGGGCCCCGCGGCACUUCCCGCCCGCAGAGCCAGCGCCAGUGGGGCCGCCUGGGGAGAGCUGGCCCUCGAGGCCCGUCCCGCCUCCCCCUCCUGCUCGCGCGCUCAAGGACAUUUUGCUUUUCCUCCCAAGGACAAAGGACAAUAAAAGGAGCCGGGGAGUCACUCACCGGGUCCGAGCGCCGCGGUCAGCACCCCUUGGUCACUCACGCCCGAGUCCCGCGCCGGGCCGCCUGCCCGAGCCUCCCGCCCGUACCAGGUCGAGCCGCCGGGGCCCCGAGGAGCCUCCGCAGCCGCUGCCGCAGCGGCGCUUUCCCCGUCGUGGGCCCGGCUGCCCCGGGCGUCUCUGCCGGGGGCUCCCAGCCCGACCCGCGGCCCGCCUCGCCCCAUCCGCAGCCGCUGGGUUCCCGCGAGCCUGCGGGCCUCCCGGGCGCAGCUCCCCGCCGACCGGCGGGCACCGCGGCCGCGGAGGAACGCCUGACAGCUCGCAGUGCUGCUGCCUCUCCGGCCAUCUUGUGCCGUGUGUGUGGUGUCUCUCUCCCGUCUCCUCUCUCGGCUUUACUCCCUCCUCCUCCUCCCCCUCCCCACACACCACACAACAUGGCCUCUUCGCUGCGGCGGCGGCGGCUGCGGCGACGGCGGCAGCGGCGGCGGCAGCUCCGCCGCGCUCCUGCCCGCUCCCCUCCCCCAUUCUUCCCCGCCUCCCGCCCGCAGCCCCAGGUUCCAGCGUGCAUGCGCACCACUGCCCGCCCGCCAAGGCGAUUGGCUCAACAAGCUUCCUGCCACCCCUUCCCAGUAGCGGCCUCACGCACGCUCGCGGGCAUGUUCCUCCCGCCUAA